rnacentral:rRNA from 1 species
CAGUCGCCACGGUAAUACGAAGGGGGCUAGCGUUGCUCGGAAUUACUGGGCGUAAAGGGAGCGUAGGCGGACAUUUAAGUCAGGGGUGAAAUCCCAGAGCUCAACUCUGGAACUGCCUUUGAUACUGGGUGUCUUGAGUGUGAUAGAGGUAUGUGGAACUCCGAGUGUAGAGGUGAAAUUCGUAGAUAUUCGGAAGAACACCAGUGGCGAAGGCGACAUACUGGAUCAUUACUGACGCUGAGGCUCGAAAGCGUGGGGAGCAAACAGGAUUAGAUACCCCUGUAGUCCCUGUCUCUUAUAC